GAACGCACCUUGCGCCCUUUGGCUAUUCCGAAGGGCAUGCCUGUUUGAGUAUCAUGAACACCUCAACCCUCAUGGUUUACCAUGUGGGCUUGGACUUUGGGGGUCUUGCUGGAUUGUAGUCAGCUCCCCUUAAAUGAAUCAGCUUGCCAGUGUCUGGUGGCAUCACAGGUGUGAUAAUUAUCUACGCUUGUGGUUUUACAUCAGGUAACCUUCAGAGAUGGGGGUUCACUGGGGCUUACAAAAGGUCUCUCCUCGGUGAGGACAGCUCUUUGAAUGUUUGAUCUCAAAUCAGGUAGGACUACCCGCUGAACUUA
rnacentral:misc_RNA from 1 species